GUGUCAGCAGCCGCGGUAAUACGUAGGGACCGAGCGUUGUCCGGAAUCAUUGGGCGUAAAGAGCGUGUAGGCGGCCACUUAAGUCCUGCGUGAAAUCUUGCGGCUCAACCGCAAGCGGUCGUGGGAAACUGGGUGGCUAGAGUGCGGGAGAGGAGAGUGGAAUUCCUGGUGUAGCGGUGGAAUGCGCAGAUAUCAGGAAGAACACCCGUGGCGAAGGCGGCUCUCUGGAACGCAACUGACGCUGAGACGCGAAAGCGUGGGGAGCAAACAGGAUUAGAAACCCCCGUAGUCC
rnacentral:rRNA from 1 species